rnacentral:misc_RNA from 1 species
AACGCACCUUGCGCCCUUUGGCUAUUCCGAAGGGCAUGCCUGUUUGAGUAUCAUGAACACCUCAACUCUCAUGGUCCGCCAUGAUGAGCUUGGACUUUGGGGGUCUUGCCGGCCUAGCGUCGGCUCCUCUCAAAUGGAUCAGCUUCCCAGUGUUUGGUGGCGUCACAGGUGUGAUAACUAUCUACGCUUGUGGUUUUCUGCCAUUAACCUUCAGCAAUGGAGGUUCGCUGGAGCUCACAGAUGUCCUUUCCUUGGGGAGGACAGCUUCUUGAAUGUCUGAUCUCAAAUCAGGUAGGACUACCCGCUGAACUUAA